ACCUCUCAGUUUUCCCUUGUGGUGAGGUUCGGUCCUGUUUUUCUCUCCUGAUCCCCAGUGGGGGGCACACAGAGCAUACUGCACUGCAGGGCUACAGCAGCAGGUGAGCCCUGGGGCUGCGCCUACGGAUCCUCUGUGGAAGGCUUGUUUCACAGAUAAUUCGGGCUCCCACCUGCACCAUCCGCGCGAUGACUCAACGUGGGCAGCUGAAGGGCGGCUGGCAGAAACGCCCCCUGCCUCUCGCCGUGCCCUGUGGCCGGGUCCAGUGUUGGACGGCGUCCGCACCCGAGCAUGUGUCUUUCUCGUACCCCAUGAACUUGCUUGAUUGUGAGAUGGCAGUCGUGUUGGGGAGUCACCUUUCCUCAGGGUGACUCCAAAAUGGGGUGGGAAAUGAUGGAUGAACAUGGUCUCUGGGAGGGAGGGUUUUGAGGGGUGUUGCACAUGGAGGAUCCCCGUGGGACUGCACCCAGGUGCCUGCGUCGGGGCCUGCCUGUUACCUAGAUUGUGUUGGCUCUCCCUGUCCUGUCUCCCAUCCCCACCCCAACACCCCUGCUGAAGCCACAGUCUGGUCUCAGGGUCUGCUGUGAUGGGAACCCAAAUAACAGGUGCAAAAACCCCAAAUGAAAUAUUACCAAACUGAACUUAUAUCACAACCAAAGUGAUUCACUCUAGGAAUAAACCUGUAGUUAAAAAUACUGUAAUGUACACAUUUGUUAUUGAAAAAUUUGUCAAGAGAGUAGACCUCAUGUUGUACUCUUACCACAGU